UUGCACUUAUUCGCUACAAAGUUUUCUGCGGAUAGCAGUGCAACACAGCUCACAUUCCGAUAAAACCAGGAUUUUACGAUGCCAGAUUUCGAAGCUUUGGUUGUGGUCUCGAGGAAUCCGUUGCUGAUGUCCAGCAAUCGGAACAAAACGUUUGUGGUGUGCGAUACAAUUCAAACCGUCGGGACGAAAACUGUGACGAUCAGUUCAUAUCCCACAUUCGAAGUCGGCCCUUGUUGGCUGAUGAUUGUAUCCGGGAAGCCAUCCUACGCCGGCUAACGCUAUGUGGCUACCAAUUCCCAAUAUCAGACGUUCUACAGCAACAUCUGGCCUACCGUCGCAUGGUGCCACUUUGGUAAAGUGGCUUCGGUUAACCUUAGCUGAUCAGGCCAAGUUUGACGAUUCUGCCGCAAGCCUCUGGUGGACAGUGGGAUCCGAGUUAAGGUACUCACGAACGAUGGAUGAAA